GACGAACGCUGGCGGCGUGCUUAACACAUGCAAGUCGAACGGUGAAGGGAUCAGCUUGCUGGUUCUGGAUGAGUGGCGAACGGGUGAGUAACACGUGAGUAACCUGCCCCCUUCUUCUGGAUAACCGCAUGAAAGUGUGGCUAAUACGGGAUAUUCUGCGCCUGCUGCAUGGUGGGUGUGGGAAAGAUAUUGUUUCGGUGGGGGAUGGGCUCGCGGCCUAUCAGCUUGUUGGUGGGGUGAUGGCCUACCAAGGCGGUGACGGGUAGCCGGCCUGAGAGGGUGGCCGGUCACACUGGGACUGCGACACGGCCCAGACUCCUACGGGAGGCAGCAGUGGGGAAUAUUGCACAAUGGGCGCAAGCCUGAUGCAGCGACGCCGCGUGAGGGAGGGAGGCCUUCGGGUUGUGAACCUCUUUCGCCAGUGAAGCAGGCCUGUCCCUUGUGGGUGGGUUGACGGUAGCUGGAUAAGAAGCGCCGGCUAACUACGUG
rnacentral:rRNA from 1 species